rnacentral:rRNA from 1 species
GAUGAACGCUGGCGGCGUGCCUAAUACAUGCAAGUCGAACGCUUCACUUCGGUGAAGAGUGGCGAACGGGUGAGUAAUACAUAAGUAACCUGGCAUCUACAGGGGGAUAACUGAUGGAAACGUCAGCUAAGACCGCAUAGGUGUAGAGAUCGCAUGAACUCUAUAUGAAAAGUGCUACGGGACUGGUAGAUGAUGGACUUAUGGCGCAUUAGCUUGUUGGUAGGGUAACGGCCUACCAAGGCGACGAUGCGUAGCCGACCUGAGAGGGUGACCGGCCACACUGGGACUGAGACACGGCCCAGACGCCUACGGGAGGCAGCAGUAGGGAAUUUUCGGCAAAGGGGGAAACCCUGACCGAGCAACGCCGCGUGAAGGAAGAAGUAAUUCGUUAUGUAAACUUCUGUCAUAGAGGAAGAACGGUGGAUAUAGGGAAUGAUAUCCAAGUGACGGUACUCUAUAAGAAAGCCACGGCUAACUACGUG